GGGACGCUGGCAAAUUGGCAGCACCAGGCUCCAGAAGAGAGGGAGCAGCAGGGAGGCAGGCCGGAGACUGCAGAGAAAGGCGUCCAGGCACUGGCAAGAUCCUAGCGCAUCGGCCCCAGAUCCUGACCGUGGCACCUCCCCACUGACCAUUUUCACUUUUCACCCAAUGCAGUUGGUAGUUUGCUCUGCUCUUCUCGUUCUUGGCAGUUCUGAUUAAGGAUCAGAUCCCAUUUUCCUUUUAUGCCUUUAAACUUUAAGCCUGGCUGCCCAAGACAAAUGCUCUAUUCAAAGCUGGAAGAUACUUAGAAAUCAUCUGUUACAAGUCUCCAAGCUCAGAGAUGAGGACAGUGAGGCCCAGAGAUUAACUGACUUUCCCAAGGACACAGGAAGCUCAGGGCAGACCUGGGAUUCCCUGGGACAUGUGGGACAAGGAUGAGAUCAUCAGCGCUCAACCCAUCAGGCAUCCUGACUCAGACGCAGAAGGACAAGGAGGAGUGAGUCUCCCGUUCUCACCCGGGGAGCGGUUGCCUCGUGAGUCCGAAGAGAAUCAGCUCUUUCGUUUUGCGCAGGUGGAGAUCUCGGGGGCCCAGUUUGGAGUCCUGCAAACCGUGAGUGUGCGAGGAGGGCUUGUUUCUGAUGAAACCAUUUCUGUCCCGUAACAACCCUGAGGGCAGAAACCCCUACAAAGGGCGCAGAGAGAUCUGCUGCCCGCUUGAUACUGGGGUGCGGUGGUCCUGGGGGCAGCUUGUCCUGGGGGCAGUUUGUCCUGGAAGGGCCCUGGGGCGCACUGGCUGGGAUCUGUAAUGUUUGGGGCAGGAGAGUGGGUGGGGAGCCCCUUCUCCAUGGCAGCGGGAGGUCUUCAGCGCUGCCCCUGCCAGCGCCUCCCUGCCUACCCCAAGGGCGCCCCACCGCGCGCCCAGAGCAGCUUGGAAACUGGGAAAUGCAGGGAGCGUGCCUGGGGGCUGCCUUAUGCUCCCCGCGGCAGCUCCGCGCUCAGGACUUUGCGUCUCCAGGAACCUUUAAGGCCGGUGCUGGGGGCUG
rnacentral:lncRNA from 1 species